UAUUUUACGCUAAAAAGUUUAGAUUUUCUUUUCAACGUGUUUGAUACUUAAUGUUAGAAUUUUACUAUAUAUUUCAUAUGUAUAUGCAUGACUAAACUGUGCUCACGGCAUCAUUUCUUAUUUUCGCUUAUCAUGGGCUCAUCAGGCAGGCAUCACAUUCCAUAGCUUAGAAGCUAUCAGUAGGGUAUCAAGAUGCUGUUAAAUUCAAUCCGCUGUAAUAGGCUUAAGGGCUAGACGGUAACAGACGGUUAUAUAAAAUUUAUGUACGUACAGAGAUGCUUAUAUAUAUAAAUUGAGAAAUACCACAUAUAUACCAUAUAUAAACUUUUAACAUAUUUCAGUGAAUACGCUUCCUCGCAAAUCCGUUUGCUACAUAUCUAAUAGUAGAACUGCGAGUCACAUAUACCCUUACAUGGCUUUACACAUUUUAGAUAACACCGCUAACAGCACUAUUUCCUACAUAUACAUAGUAUGUUGAUACUUGCAGACAUCUUCAGCAGCCUUCAUACACAGCAUAUACUCGUAUAAGUGUGGAUGUAUGUAAAGGGUGAUUUUUUAAGAGCUUGAUAACUUUUUUUUAAAAAAAAACGCAUAAAAUUUGCAAAAUCUCAUCGGUUCUUUAUUUGAAACGGUAGAUUGGUUCAUGACAUUUACUUUUUGAAGAUAAUUUCAUUUAAAUGUUGACCGCGGCUGCGUCUUAGGUGGUCCAUUCGGAAAGUCCAAUUUUGGGCAACUUUUUCGAGCAUUUCGGCCGGAAUAGCCCGAAUUUCUUCGGAAAUGUUGUCUUCCAAAGCUGGAAUAGUUGCUGGCUUAUUUCUGUAGACUUUAGACUUGACGUAGCCCCACAAAAAAUAGUCUAAAGGCGUUAAAUCGCAUGAUCUUGGUGGUCAACUUACGGGUCCAUUUCUUGAGAUGAAUUGUUGUCCGAAGUUUUCCCUCAAAAUGGCCAUAGAAUCGCGAGCUGUGUGGCAUGUAGCGCCAUCUUGUUGAAACCACAUGUCAACCAAGUUCAGUUCUUCCAUUUUUGGCAACAAAAAGUUUGUUAGCAUCGAACGAUAGCGAUCGCCAUUCACCGUAACGUUGCGUCCAACAGCAUCUUUGAAAAAAUACGGUCCAAUGAUUCCACCAGCGUACAAACCACACCAAACAGUGCAUUUUUCGGGAUGCAUGGGCAGUUCUUGAACGGCUUCUGGUUGCUCUUCACCCCAAAUGCGGCAAUUUUGCUUAUUUACGUAGCCAUUCAACCAGAAAUGAGCCUCAUCGCUGAACAAAAUUUGUCGAUAAAAAAGAGCGAAACACAUUUCGAACCGAACACUGAUUUUGGUAAUAAAAUUCAAUGAUUUGCAAGCGUUGCUCGUUAGUAAGUCUAUUCAUGAUGAAAUGUCAAAGCAUACUGAGCAUCUUUCUCUUUGACACCAUGUCUGAAAUCCCACGUGAUCUGUCAAAUACUAAUGCAUGAAAAUCCUAACCUCAAAAAAAUCACCCGUUAAUAAAUAUA